rnacentral:lncRNA from 1 species
CCGCAGGGUCACGUGGAGUCCGUCUGACCCUCCAGCUAAGGAACUAAGAAUGACCCAAGUACCUGUCCAGGCCCGGGACCAAAGGUCAUGCUGGGUCUCCUUGCCUUACCCCUUCCCAGGAGUACAGGAAACCAGAGAUGCUGAGAGUCUCACUCCACAGACACCAAGAACGGAGGACCCAGCACACCAGGGCAAUGCCUCAGAGGGAGUGUCCCCAGAAGGCCCUCCACAGUCUCCCUGCCCAGAAGCCACCAAGCCGCUGCUCACAGGACCUCAUGGGCAAUCCUUUCUAUAGCAAGAUGGUUCUGCCAGGGGCAGCAGUCACGUGUUCUGCCACAUCCCUACUUCCUGUGUCUACACAUUCAAGCACAGCAGAUUUGGAAAUGCUCUUAAUGAAAUGAACGUAAUGACCCAUUUGUGCCCACACACCACGAGGACCUGAUGAAAUAAUUCAGUAAAUAUUUACCGAGCACCUAUGUGCACCCACACACUCUGGGCAUGACGGAGCCGCCAGUGACCAGUGACACCCUGUCCCAGCACUGGCCAACUCACGGAUAGGGAGAUGAGGCCGGGACUCAAUCCAGGGCAAGCGGCACCAGGUAUGGUUCAAGGGGCUCUGAGUUCAGAAGUAAGGAAGGCCCCAGCCCUCAGCAGGGGGAUGCAGGGGCAGGGGUGGGGGGGGGCGGAUCCAGCAGAUGCAGCAUCUGAGCAUCUGAGGUAGUUGAACACACAGGAGUGCACCUGUCGUGGGGCAUUCAGGGCAGGCACCUGAGCCAGGGAAAUGCUCAGAGGUGGGAACUAAGAGACAGUGCACAUGAAACACGUGGGGAGCUCAAUAGGCCCUUAAGGGAGGAUGGAAGGCAGAGGAGGGCACAGCACUUUCCACUCCAGUCUUGAACUGGCCUGAUUUUUUAGGACACUCCCUGGACCAUGCUUGUUCCCCCCUUCCCUCCCUGAAACUGUCCACAUCCCCAGAGCACUCGGAGCCAUCAAAGUGAGUGACGGCAGGCUAAUCACAGCCACUUGGGUGUGAGGAGGCCCCUUGUCUCUCUCUGAGGACCCUCCAGCAAGGACAAGUGCAGGACAAAAGCUGUGCCUCCCCC